AUUGAACGCUGGCGGCAGGCCUAACACAUGCAAGUCGAGCGGAUGAAGGGAGCUUGCUCCUGGAUUCAGCGGCGGACGGGUGAGUAAUGCCUAGGAAUCUGCCUGGUAGUGGGGGAUAACGUCCGGAAACGGGCGCUAAUACCGCAUACGUCCUGAGGGAGAAAGUGGGGGAUCUUCGGACCUCACGCUAUCAGAUGAGCCUAGGUCGGAUUAGCUAGUUGGUGGGGUAAAGGCCUACCAAGGCGACGAUCCGUAACGGUCUGAGAGGAUGAUCAGUCACACUGGAACUGAGACACGGUCCAGACUCCUACGGGAGGCAGCAGUGGGGAAUAUUGGACAAUGGGCGAAAGCCUGAUCCAGCCAUGCCGCGUGUGUGAAGAAGGUCUUCGGAUUGUAAAGCACUUUAAGUUGGGAGGAAGGGCAGUAAGUUAAUACCUUGCUGUUUUGACGUUACCAACAGAAUAAGCACCGGCUAACUUCGUG
rnacentral:rRNA from 1 species